GAUUAGUUUAAAGGGCUGCGGUAAUUUGACCGUGCGAAGGUAGCAUAGUCAGUAGUCUUUUAAUUGAAGGCUUGAAUGAAAGGUUGGACGAGAGAUGGGCUGUCUUUUUGGUGUAGUUUGAAUUUAACUUUUGAGUGAAAAGGCUCAAAUUUUUUAGUGGGACGAUAAGACCCUAUAAAACUUUAUACAAAUCUAGCUGAAUCUGUGAUUUUAGUGAAAAAUAGUUUUGUUAAGUCUGUAUUUCAUUGGGGUGAUGAAGAUAUAAUGGAUGUAACUGUCUUAAAAAUUAAAUAAUUGUGAUUAGAUCAUGAUCCUGCAUGUGUGGAUUAAAAGAAUAAGUUACUUUAGGGAUAACAGCGUAAUUUUCUUUGAGAGUUCUUAUCGACAGGAGUAGUUGCGACCUCGAUGUUGAAUUAAAGUUUCAGUUGGGUGUAGCCGCUUGACUGGUGG
rnacentral:rRNA from 1 species